rnacentral:rRNA from 1 species
UACGGGAGGCAGCAGUGGGGGAAUAUUGCACAAUGGGCGCAAGCCUGAUGCAGCCAUGCCGCGUGUAUGAAGAAGGCCUUCGGGUUGUAAAGUACUUUCAGUCGUGAGGAAGGUGUUAAGGUUAAUAACCUUAGCAAUUGACGUUAGCGACAGAAGAAGCACCGGCUAACUCCGUGCCAGCAGCCGCGGUAAUACGGAGGGUGCGAGCGUUAAUCGGAAUUACUGGGCGUAAAGGGCACGCAGGCGGUUAAUUAAGUUGGAUGUGAAAUCCCCGGGCUUAACCUGGGAAUGGCAUUCAAGACUGGUUAGCUAGAGUCUUGUAGAGGGGGUUAGAAUUCCAUGUGUAGCGGUGAAAUGCGUAGAGAUGUGGAGGAUACCGGUGGCGAAGGCGGCCCCUGGACAAGACUGACGCUCAUGUGCGAAAGCGUGGGGAGCAAACAGGGAUUAGAUA